ACUCGAGUGGCGAACGGGUGAGUAACACGUGGGUGAUCUGCCCUGCACUUCGGGAUAAGCUUGGGAAACUGGGUCUAAUACCGGAUAGGAGCCAUCUUUAGUGUGGUGGUUGGAAAGUUUUUUCGGUGUAGGAUGAGCUCGCGGCCUAUCAGCUUGUUGGUGGGGUAAUGGCCUACCAAGGCGGCGACGGGUAGCCGGCCUGAGAGGGUGACCGGCCACAUUGGGACUGAGAUACGGCCCAG
rnacentral:rRNA from 1 species